GUGAAGCUGGCGGCGUGCUUAACACAUGCAAGUCGAACGGUGAACACGGNAGCUUGCUCUGUGGGAUCAGUGGCGAACGGGUGAGUAACACGUGAGCAACCUGCCCCUGACUCUGGGAUAAGCGCUGGAAACGGCGUCUAAUACUGGAUACGAGUAGCGACCGCAUGGUCAGUUACUGGAAAGAUUUAUUGGUUGGGGAUGGGCUCGCGGCCUAUCAGCUUGUUGGUGAGGUAAUGGCUCACCAAGGCGUCGACGGGUAGCCGGCCUGAGAGGGUGACCGGCCACACUGGGACUGAGACACGGCCCAGACUCCUACGGGAGGCAGCAGUGGGGAAUAUUGCACAAUGGGCGCAAGCCUGAUGCAGCAACGCCGCGUGAGGGAUGACGGCCUUCGGGUUGUAAACCUCUUUUAGCAGGGAAGAAGCGAAAGUGACGGUACCUGCAGAAAAAGCGCCGGCUAACUACGUGCCAGCAGCCGCGGUAAUACGUAGGGCGCAAGCGUUAUCCGGAAUUAUUGGGCGUAAAGAGCUCGUAGGCGGUUUGUCGCGUCUGCUGUGAAAUCCGGAGGCUCAACCUCCGGCCUGCAGUGGGUACGGGCAGACUAGAGUGCGGUAGGGGAGAUUGGAAUUCCUGGUGUAGCGGUGGAAUGCGCAGAUAUCAGGAGGAACACCGAUGGCGAAGGCAGAUCUCUGGGCCGUAACUGACNCUGAGGAGCGAAAGGGUGGGGAGCAAACAGGCUUAAAUACCUGNUAGUCCACCCCNNAACGUUGGNACUAGUUGUGGGGUCCAUUCACGGAUUCCUGACNCANCUACCCAUAAGUUCCCNCUGGGAGUCNGCCCAGGCUAACUAAGGAAUUACGGGACCCCCAGCGCGNCUGCGNUAUUNNUCACCNAAACUAC
rnacentral:rRNA from 2 species